rnacentral:lncRNA from 11 species
UCUCAGAUGUAUACAAAGGUCACUAGGUCUUCUUUUUUUUCUGUUUAGAGGUUUUUCAUUACGUCUGGAGAUAUCCUCCAUUUGGAAGGAACUCUCCACUGGUGAACCAACCAUCAAGUAACUUAAAUGUGAAAUAUUUCUAUUGCUUCUAUUUAAAUCUUUCUCCUUUCCGUUAUUUGAAUUCUAUGGCACAGCUAUUUGCUUUGAGAAGUCAUAAUCUUGUGAUCUUUUCCUCUCACAAUUUUUUUUUACAGCAGUAGAUGUCGGAGGACACUUGGCAUAAGACUCUUGGUUCUGGCUCUUCAUCUGUCGCACACUUUUUCUUGCACGAUCCAGGACAGAACUGGGCUGGGAUGUAUUCUGGGUCUCUAGAAGACAGCAGGUUUUAGAAGAAGCUGGAAGGAAC